rnacentral:rRNA from 1 species
AGUUCGGAUUGCAGGCUGCAACUCGCCUGCAUGAAGUCGGAGUUGCUAGUAAUCGCAGAUCAGAAUGCUGCGGUGAAUGCGUUCCCGGGUCUUGUACACACCGCCCGUCACACCAUGGAAGUUGGGGGCGCCCGAAGUCGGCUAGGAAAUAGGCUGCCUAAGGUGAAACCAAUGACUGGGGUGAAGUCGUAACAAGGUAGC